AUCCUCGCUUGUCCGUUUUUUACAGUAUAAAUUUCCUCUCCCUCCUCCCAUUUUAUUCAUAAAGGAAAGGAAGGAAGAAGGAGAGAGAGAGGUGUCUGCAAAGAGGGUGAUGAAGAGCGAGAGAGAGAGAGAGACAGAAAAAGCACCAGCAGAGAAGGGAGAGCACAAGAAGGGAGCAGGAUUCAGCGAAGAAGACUGUGAUUAAUGAGAGAGAGCAGAAAAAUAAAGUAAGGGAAGAACAUGGGAUGAUGGACAGCCAUACUGGAAAUGAAACCCCAGCUUCUCUCCACUUCACGAUGGAUGCAUCGGACAGAGGGCUGGGGGCUGUUUUGUCCCAGAAGGUGGAGGGUGAGGAACGUCCCGUGCUGUACAUUAGCCGCAAGCUCUCGAUGUGUGAAAUGAGGGUGGAGGAUAGAAAAGGAAGGAGAGAGUGAAGAGAGGGGAUCGCUCCCAACCAGAACACAUGUGGGUGUGCACCUGUCUGUGUAUGUGAGCAGCAAACAAGCAAGUCAAGCUGAAAAGCAACAAAAGUACAAGAAAUAAAGUGGUGUGUGAACAUCAUCUCCCGCCUGCCGUGCUUCAGCACUCCACCCACAUCAGGGGUUUACUACAGUGAUGCUUUGAUGUGUUUCACCCACAUGACAGUGUGAUUGAUUUAGUGUGUGAUAGGCUAGAUGCAUAGCUAUAGCAGUAGUCGUCACUCAGCAGAUUAAGGCUCUGUGUUACUGCUUGAAGGGGUGGGGGUUUGAGCCCCAGCAUUGUUAAUGUGAGACAUCGUUUCUUUAUCUUCCCUUAUUCAGUUUCAUUUUCUAUUAGCAGAAUCAGUUACUGUACAUUAACUGAAACUUCAUUCUGCCGUAGAUGAAACAUGUUCCACAAAGAAAGCACAUUAAA